rnacentral:rRNA from 1 species
GAUGAACGCUGGCGGCGUGCCCAAUACAUGCAAGUCGAGCGAACGGACGAGAAGCUUGCUUCUCUGAUGUUAGCGGCGGACGGGUGAGUAACACGUGGAUAACCUACCUAUAAGACUGGGAUAACUUCGGGAAACCGGAGCUAAUACCGGAUAAUAUUUUGAACCGCAUGGUUCAAAAGUGAAAGACGGUCUUGCUGUCACUUAUAGAUGGAUCCGCGCUGCAUUAGCUAGUUGGUAAGGUAACGGCUUACCAAGGCAACGAUGCAUAGCCGACCUGAGAGGGUGAUCGGCCACACUGGAACUGAGACACGGUCCAGACUCCUACGGGAGGCAGCAGUAGGGAAUCUUCCGCAAUGGGCGAAAGCCUGACGGAGCAACGCCGCGUGAGUGAUGAAGGUCUUCGGAUCGUAAAACUCUGUUAUUAGGGAAGAACAUAUGUGUAAGUAACUGUGCACAUCUUGACGGUACCUAAUCAGAAAGCCGCGGCUAACUACGUGCCAGCAGCCGCGGUAAUACGUAGGUGGCAAGCGUUAUCCGGAAUUAUUGGGCGUAAAGCGCGCGUAGGCGGUUUUUUAAGUCUGAUGUGAAAGCCCACGGCUCAACCGUGGAGGGUCAUUGGAAACUGGAAAACUUGAGUGCAGUAGAGGAAAGUGGAAUUCCAUGUGUAGCGGUGAAAUGCGCAGAGAUAUGGAGGAACACCAGUGGCGAAGGCGACUUUCUGGUCUGUAACUGACGCUGAUGUGCGAAAGCGUGGGGAUCAAACAGGAUUAGAUACCCUGGUAGUCCACGCCGUAAACGAUGAGUGCUAAGUGUUAGGGGGUUUCCGCCCCUUAGUGCUGCAGCUAACGCAUUAAGCACUCCGCCUGGGGAGUACGACCGCAAGGUUGAAACUCAAAGGAAUUGACGGGGACCCGCACAAGCGGUGGAGCAUGUGGUUUAAUUCGAAGCAACGCGAAGAACCUUACCAAAUCUUGACAUCCUUUGACAACUCUAGAGAUAGAGCCUUCCCCUUCGGGGGACAAAGUGACAGGUGGUGCAUGGUUGUCGUCAGCUCGUGUCGUGAGAUGUUGGGUUAAGUCCCGCAACGAGCGCAACCCUUAAGCUUAGUUGCCAUCAUUAAGUUGGGCACUCUAAGUUGACUGCCGGUGACAAACCGGAGGAAGGUGGGGAUGACGUCAAAUCAUCAUGCCCCUUAUGAUUUGGGCUACACACGUGCUACAAUGGACAAUACAAAGGGCAGCGAAACCGCGAGGUCAAGCAAAUCCCAUAAAGUUGUUCUCAGUUCGGAUUGUAGUCUGCAACUCGACUACAUGAAGCUGGAACCGCUAGUAAUCGUAGAUCAGCAUGCUACGGUGAAUACGUUCCCGGGUCU